rnacentral:rRNA from 1 species
AGAGUUUGAUCCUGGCUCAGGAUGAACGCUAGCGGCAGGCUUAACACAUGCAAGUCGAGGGGUAACAGCUCACUUCGAUGAGGCUGACGACCGGCGCACGGGUGCGUAACACGUAUGCAACCUACCUUUUACUGNNNNAUAGCCCCGAGAAAUCNGNAUUAAUACUCCAUAAUAUUCAUGAAUCGCANNNNNNNNNNNNUAAAGANNNNUCGGUAGAAGAUGGGCAUGCGUCCCAUUAGAUAGUUGGUGAGGUAACGGCUCACCAAGACAACGAUGCCUAGGGGUUCUGAGAGGAAAACCCCCCACACUGGUACUGAGACACGGACCAGACUCCUACGGGAGGCAGCAGUGAGGAAUAUUGGUCAAUGGACGAAAGUCUGAACCAGCCAUGCCGCGUGCAGGAAGACGGCCCUAUGGGUUGUAAACUGCUUUUAUAUGGGAAGAAGCCCCCGACGUGUCGGGGGCUGACGGU